CUUUUAAAAAACGAUUGACACUCUGGAGGGGCGGGGGAAUUGAUAAGUUGGGACUACCGGACAGCUUCUCAGGUUGCUAAGCGACGAGGCGGGAGCGCACGCACACCCUGGCUGCUUUGUAGCACCUGAGGAAACUGUGGCGGCGGCGGCGGCGGCGUCCUGGAGACCCAAGAGACCAAGCGAGCGUGUCGCUCCCUCUCGGGUCCGAGGACCUAGCCCAGGAACCUUCUGCCCGGGGUAGUGUCUGGUGAUGAGGCGAGAGUUUUGCUGGGACGCCUACUCCAAAGCGGCCGGGAGUCGCGCUUCUUCCCCACUCCCGAGACAGGACAGAGAUUCCUUCUGCCAUCAGAUGUCUUUCUGCUUGACUGAACUGCACCUGUGGUCUUUGAAGAAUACCUUACACAUUGCGGAUAGAGACAUUGGGAUCUACCAGUAUUAUGACAAGAAAGAUCCACCAGCGACAGAGCAUGGUAACUUAGAAAAGAAGCAGAAGCUGGCAGAGUCACGAGAUUAUCCUUGGACGCUCAAAAACAGACGCCCAGAAAAACUCCGAGACUCGCUCAAAGAGUUGGAGGAGCUGAUGCAAAACAGUCGGUGUGUGCUAAGCAAAUGGAAGAACAAAUAUGUCUGUCAGCUCCUUUUUGGUUCAGGUGUGCUGGUGUCUCUAAGCCUUUCUGGGCCGCAGCUGGAGAAAGUGGUGAUUGACAGAAGCCUGGUGGGGAAGCUCAUCUCAGACACCAUCAGUGAUGCUCUUCUCACAGACAGUUUUAUCAUCUUAUCAUUUUUGGCACAAAACAAACUAUGUUUUAUUCAGUUUACCAAGAAGAUGGAUUCUUCUGAUGUAAACAAAAGACUGGAAAAACUCUCAGCCUUGGAUUAUAAGAUUUUCUAUUAUGAAAUACCUGGCCCAAUAAACAAGACAACAGAGCGACAUCUAGCUAUCAACUGUGUUCAUGAUAGAGUUGUUUGCUGGUGGCCACUGGUCAACGAUGAUGCUUGGCCUUGGGCCCCCAUUUCUUCUGAGAAGGACAGAGCCAAUCUACUCCUCCUGGGUUAUGCUCAAGGAAGACUAGAGGUUCUGAGUUCUCUCCGCACAGAAUGGGACCCACUGGAUGUUCGCUUUGGCACCAAACAGCCUUAUCAGGUGUUCACAGUGGAGCACUCCGUAAGUGUAGACAAAGAGCCCAUGGCUGACAGCUGCAUCUAUGAAUGCAUUCGGAAUAAAAUCCAGUGUGUGUCAGUCACCAGAAUACCACUAAAGUCAAAGGCCAUCAGCUGCUGCAGGAAUGUUACUGAAGACAAACUGAUUCUGGGCUGUGAAGAUUCUUCGCUAAUUCUUUAUGAAACUCACCGUAGAGUGACUCUCUUAGCACAGACUGAACUUUUGCCUUCAUUAAUAAGCUGCCACCCAAGUGGUGCCAUUCUGUUAGUUGGCAGCAACCAAGGGGAGUUGCAAAUUUUUGAUAUGGCUCUAUCCCCUAUUAACAUCCAACUGUUGGCUGAAGACCGCUUACCCAGGGAGACUCUGCAAUUCAGUAAAUUAUUUCAUGCCUCCAGCAGUCUUGUUCAAAUGCAAUGGAUAGCUCCUCAGGUUGUUUCUCAGAAGGGUGAAGGUAGUGAUAUCUAUGAUCUCCUCUUCCUCAGGUUUGAAAGAGGACCUUUGGGUGUGCUGUUGUUUAAACUAGGCGUCUUCACUCGAGGACAGCUGGGCCUGAUAGACAUCAUCUUCCAGUACAUUCACUGUGAUGAGAUCUAUGAGGCAAUAAACAUCCUGAGCAGCAUGAACUGGGACACUCUGGGCCACCAGUGCUUUAUCAGCAUGAGCGCCAUUGUAAACCAUCUUCUUAGACAGAAGCUCACUCCAGAGAGAGAAGCACAGCUUGAGACAAGCCUUGGAACCUUCUAUGCUCCAACAAGACCACUUCUGGAUUCCACUAUAUUGGAAUAUAGAGAUCAAAUCAGCAAAUAUGCAAGGAGAUUCUUCCAUCACUUGCUCAGAUGGAGUCUUGCCUUGUCGCCCAGGCUGGAGUGCAGUGAUGUGAUCGCGGUUCACUGCUACCUCCAUCUCCUGGGUUCAAGCGAUUCUUCUGCCUCAGCCUCCCGAGUAGCUGGGACCACUGGCAUGUGCCACCACACCCAGCUAAUUUUUGUUGUUUUUAGUAGAGAUGGGAUUUCACCAUGUUGGCCAGGCUGGUCUUGAAUUCCUUACCUUGUGAUCCACCCGCCUCAGCCUCCCAAAGUGCUGGGAUUACAGGCAUAAGCCACCGUGCCCGGCCAUAA
rnacentral:sRNA from 1 species